rnacentral:rRNA from 1 species
GAUGAACGCUAGCUACAGGCUUAACACAUGCAAGUCGAGGGGUAGCAGGGUAGCAAUACCGCUGACGACCGGCGCACGGGUGAGUAACACGUGUCCAACCUUCCCAUAACUCGGGGAUAGCCUUUCGAAAGAAAGAUUAAUACCCGAUAGUACUUUUUUAGGGCAUCUUAGAAAAGUUAAAGAUUUAUUGGUUAUGGAUGGGGAUGCGUUCCAUUAGAUAGUUGGUGAGGUAACGGCUCACCAAGUCUUCGAUGGAUAGGGGUUCUGAGAGGAAGGUCCCCCACAUUGGUACUGAGACACGGACCAAACUCCUACGGGAGGCAGCAGUGGGGAAUAUUGGUCAAUGGGCGAGAGCCUGAACCAGCCAAGUAGCGUGAAGGAUGAAGGUCCUAUGGAUUGUAAACUUCUUUUAUAGUAGAAUAAAGUGAACCACGUGUGGUUUUUGUAUGUAUACUAUGAAUAAGGAUCGGCUAACUCCGUG